CAAUGUGCUGUAUGCCUUGAGGUCCCAAAGCCGUAAUGUGGUUUGUAGCCAAGUGGGAAUGAAGCUGCCUUACUCCAUGUAUUACUUAGAAUGUUUUUGGUUACAGGUUAAUAGAAAACUUAACUCAAUCUGGAUGAAACAAGUGGAAUUUGUUGCCUCUUAGCCAAUAAAAUGGAAGUCCAAAGGUAAGAAGCAUAUGUACCAGUGAGGAUUAGGUUAGGCUGCAAGAAACAGAGACCCAAACUAACAAUGGCUUAAAUGACCUUUGAUUUUCUCACACACAUACAACGCCAGACAUAGGAAGGCCAGGGCUUCUAUUGUAACUGAGCUUAACAAAAUCUGGAGAAGCUUUCAUCUUCUUCCAGCUCACUGCUCUGUCAUUUCCUAAAAGCGUAAGCACUGUUGUCACAGUCUAAGAUGGUGGCUAGAGCUUCAGUCGUCGUAUUCAUGCUCCCGGGAGCAGGAUGGAGAAAGGAUGAAGAAGAUGUCCAUGAGUCAGCUGUCUUGUAAGGAAGGUUCCUAGAAGCUGCCACAUGACAUUUCUGCUUAUAUUCCAUCAGCCAGGGCGUAGUCACAUGGAUCCGCCAAACUGCAAAGAGACGAUAGGAGUGAAAGGAAGAGCAUUCUUUCAUCGUCAUUCAGUGGAGAGAAGUUCUGUUGAGGUUGCAAACACAAAUAGUUGAAUCCAGUGUGGUGAGCAUCUAGCAGUGUGGAAAUGGAGGAACCUUGGGUAUUUAUGGAGCAUUGUUUUAUGGUGAUGAAUAGGACAGGGAAAGCCUCUGUUUUCAUGGUGCUCAUACGUUCAAGGAAGAGAGUCACCAAAUUCUGGAGGUGUUCAAUCAACAGUUGUUAAACGAGGGAUGAUGAUCUCAUAUAGACCUACAGAAUCUCAGAGCUGAGGAUUAUCAACCACAUUAUACAGAAAGGUCGAGUCACUUGACUAAGGAGGACGAUGAGCCAAGAGCGCAGUUGGAGUUCAGUCAGAUGGAGCAUUCCUGGUGCUGCCUCCUUGCGUGAAAGAUAUUGUCAUGAGAAAGUCACAUGCAAAUGAAGGAGGCUGUAAUUAGGAGAGGAAAAAUAACAUCACCAUGGGAGACGUUGGCUGAGAGGUUCAGGAAGAUUUGUGCACUGAACAAAGGUUGCAGUCUCUCUGUAUGGAAGACAUCAGGAACUAUUCCUCUCAUGACUUUAUUAAAUUGGCCUGAAUUAUCAGCAACUGUGAUCCCUCAGUCCAGGAGAAGAAAGCUUCUUAAAGAGCAGCCCUAUAGAGAGGCCCAAGCAGCAAGGAGCUGAUAUCUCCAGCCAACAGCCAACAAGGACCUGUGGCCUGUCUGCAGUCAUCUCAGGUUUUUCUUUGACCAGUGACAUGUGCAUCCAUGGAAGGAAGGAACUGAUGGUGAACGUAUUUGGAGAUUAUCUACCAUGGCUAACCUGUCGGCCAGGAUUGAC
rnacentral:lncRNA from 1 species